CCUACGGGUGGCAGCAGUGGGGAAUAUUGGACAAUGGGCGAAAGCCUGAUCCAGCCAUGCCGCGUGUGUGAAGAAGGCCUUCGGGUUGUAAAGCACUUUCAGUGGGGAAGAAAGCCUUGGGGCUAAUACCCUCGAGGAAGGACAUCACCCACAGAAGAAGCACCGGCUAACUCCGUGCCAGCAGCCGCGGUAAUACGGAGGGUGCGAGCGUUAAUCGGAAUUACUGGGCGUAAAGCGCGCGUAGGCGGUCUGAUAAGCCGGUUGUGAAAGCCCCGGGCUCAACCUGGGAACGGCAUCCGGAACUGUCAGGCUAGAGUGCAGGAGAGGAAGGUAGAAUUCCCGGUGUAGCGGUGAAAUGCGUAGAGAGCGGGAGGAAUACCAGUGGCGAAGGCGGCCUUCUGGACUGACACUGACGCUGAGGUGCGAAAGCGUGGGUAGCAAACAGGAUUAGAUACCCGAGUAGUC
rnacentral:rRNA from 1 species